rnacentral:lncRNA from 1 species
CGUUUGAUCGGCCCUUUGAAACCCUUUACAAUUGCCUGUGACGAACGGCCAGUCUCAGUUUUUCUCUGAAUAAUGCCUUGAGGGAUGCCACCCUGAAAGUUUUAUUUUCUCCAGGAAGGUACAGUUGUCUUUGAGAGUCCUAGCCUGUGAACACAGUCUGUAAAUGUGAUCAUCAAGCAAGACGGAGCU